rnacentral:rRNA from 1 species
AGGACGAACGCUGGCGGCGUGCCUCAUACAUGCAAGUGGAGCGACGAACCAGGAUUUAUCCUGGGGCAAAGCCGCGAACGGGUGAGUAACACGUGGCAACCUGCCCCUCACACUGGGAUAACCUCGGGAACCGGGCUAAUACCGGAUACGACCUCGAGCGGCAUCUCUUGAGGUGAAAAGCUCCGACGGUGAGGGAUGGGCCCGCGGCCUAUCAGCUUGUUGGUGGGUAAUGGCCUACCAAGGCGACGACGGGUA